rnacentral:rRNA from 1 species
UGCCAGCAGCCGCGGUAAUACAGAGGGUGCAAGCGUUAAUCGGAUUUACUGGGCGUAAAGCGUGCGUAGGUGGUCUUUUAAGUCGGAUGUGAAAUCCCUGAGCUUAACUUAGGAAUUGCAUUCGAUACUGGGAGACUAGAGUAUGGGAGAGGAUGGUAGAAUUCCAGGUGUAGCGGUGAAAUGCGUAGAGAUCUGGAGGAAUACCGAUGGCGAAGGCAGCCAUCUGGCCUAAUACUGACACUGAGGUACGAAAGCAUGGGGAGCAAACAGGAUUAGAUA